GAGGAUUUUCUACAAUUGCUUUUUCCCUGCAGUAAUCUGACUAUUGGAGAUCUCACCAGUUUCUUUGUCAAUGAUGUGGGAGAUGUUUACUUCUAGUGAGACAAGGGACAACAGAGUGGAACAGAGUGUGAAACAAGAGGUAAUCAAGUUACUGAGAGGACUUUCUAGGAGGGAUGAAAUAUGUCCACAGAGUUUUGGCUUGGGAUUGAAGAGCAAAGAGGAGAAAGGCUGCACUGGGAAUCAUCACUCAGCCUUGGUGAAUUGUUUUGAUUAGAGAGAGAGAGGUCUUUGAGAUGGUUUGCAGUGACAGCGUCAUGGUUUGUGCAGGCAGGCAGUAUUCUUUUUGUCUUUUUAUUGGGCCAAGGACAUCUACAGAUUUUAUCAAUAGGUGCACAAAAAUUUGUAGAUGGGGGUGGAACAAAGUUUCAUUCUCUCCAUAGACACAGCACUAAAAAUAUCAAAUUGAACACAUUUCUACUUGAGAAGGCUCAAGAUUUGUCCUUAGCCUGAGUUGUGCAUGUUCUUCCUUUUAAUAUGCAUUUUUUUAAAUGCCAGGGGAAAUUUAAGCGGUGUUUAUUAAAGCAGAAAUGUAUUGAUGACAUGUGUUGGAGGUUUUAUUUCAAUCCCCCGAGUUCUGCAAUGAACAGAUCCGUUUUACACUCAGCCCAGGCAGCCUGAUUUACCCACUGGCCCUUCUGUUGGAUACCUGGUGAUUUUAUUUUUCAUCCGUGAUAUGGUUCGGUUGCCCCUAUUAAAAGAUAUAUGUUUAAUUGAAACUUUUAAAGAAAAUUUUAGAAAAUCUUAUUUAAAGAAGUUUAUCACACAUUAUAAAGAACUUUUUGAGACAGAAAAUAUUUUAAGAGGAAAAAAAGCCUUAAUUUUCUAACUGUUUGUAAUGAUGCUCAGUGACAUUGCUUUCAUAUAGAAGAGUAUGAUAAGGGCUGUUAGCUGAUCUUCUGAGAUCAACCCAUUUUAAUGUACUUGUCCAAUAAUUAACUCAAUACUAGAUGAAAGCAGUCUUCCAAAUUCCAACAUUAAGUUUUAAUACCAAGCCAGGUAUGAGGCAUUCAAACUCAUUGCAGCAAACAGGUUUCUAAGUGUGGCUUUUUCUUUCAUGCAGAGAAGGGACUGAUUAGUUUCCCAAACCAUAAAAAUUGUUUUCUUUCUUUUUCUUUUUCUUUUUUUUUUUUUUUUGAGGGGGGCGGGGUGCGGUUCUGAAACUGAUUUCUUGGUUGUCUCCAUUACUCACAAAUCUGCUUGCCAUAUUUGGUAGCAAAGUCAGGGGCUAAACUUAUCUUAGCUGUUGCCCACAAUUUAUGAAGAGAUAAUCCAGUUCAUAGGAAAUGAGGUACUUCAAGUAUUUGAGGAAUGGCAAGUAUUUCUUUGUCAGCAUGGAUUCAGCUUCAAAUACGUCUCCUACUGAUCUCUGGACUACCGCUCUACGCCGCAUUGAUCCAUGCAGGAAUAAUUGUAAAGAGUUUCCAGGAUUUCUUUUACUAUCAGAAAAACAACACCCUGGAAUCACUUUGCCUGUGGUUUAUAGUGAAAACAGCCGUCUGAGCAUUUUGAGCCAAUAGCUUUGGAUAAGGUGUGUAAUUUGUUUGGUGCUGAGUUCUGUGACAUGAAAAGUAAAUUACAAUUGGGAAGGGUAGUGGGAAGAGGGAUACCAUUAUUAAAGAAAAAGA